rnacentral:misc_RNA from 1 species
CCUUCUUGCGCAAGCAGAAGUUGGGGUUGCCACGGCCCGUGCGGCCUGUGUGUGGCUCCCCGAAACGGAACGGCAGCGGGACUGAGCGAAGUACACAACACUCGCGCUUGGCCCGCCGAACUUUUUUUUAAUCUAAG